rnacentral:rRNA from 1 species
AUGGAGUUGGGUAGUAGUGCUACCAUGUCUCGAGAGCUGGUCGUCCUAGCGUUCACGUACGUGCUUGUCCACUAUCUCACAGGGGUCAUUCUCCGGAGCAAACGGGCGUCGCUGCCUUUGCCACCCGGCCCGCGAGGCUACCCGGUGGUUGGGGCGCUGCCCCUGCUGGGCCGGGCGCCGCACCGAGCACUCGCAGCCCUGGCUAGGCUGCACGGCCCCAUCAUGCACCUGACCCUUGGAAGGCAAGGCCUCGUGGUCGCUUCCACGCCGGAGUCGGCGCGCCUCCUGCUCAAGGACCACGGCGGCAGCUUCCUCGACCGCCCGGUGGACGACGCCGGGCCCAUGGUGCUGGCGUACGGCGCCCAGGACCUUGUUUUCGCGCCCUAUGGCCCCAAGUGGCGCCGCCUGCGCCGGGAGUGCAGCGCGGGCCUCCUUGGCCCCAAGGCGCUCGCCGACUGGGCCGACACGCGUCACGAGGAGGUCGGCCGUAUGGUCCGUGCGAUGAGCCGGCGGGGCGAGGCGUUGGAGGUGCCGGAGUUCCUGUUCGCCGCAAUGGCAAACAUGAUUGGGCAGGCGGUGGUGGGUCGGCGAGUGCUCGACGAGGCUGGCGGCGAGGCCACGAGGGAGUUCAAGGAGAUGGUGGUGGAGCUGAUGACCACGGCGGGGCUGGUGAACAUCGGCGACUUUGUGCCGGCGGUAGCGUGGAUGGACCUGCAGGGGCUCGGCCGGAGGAUGCGGCGGCUAACGACGAGGCUGGACAGGGCCUGGAGCCGGUUGCUGUCCGAUCACGAGGUGGCCAUGGCUAACAGGAAGCAAGACGGGAGCCGCCGUACAGACCUAGUUGACCGGCUGAUCGCAUGUCGUGACCAUGCCGAGGACGUGGGGGACGGCGUCACAGACCUCAACAUCAAAGCUGUACUUAACAACCUGUUCACGGCGGGGACGGACACUUCGUCGAGCACAAUCGAGUGGGCGCUGGCCGAAAUGCUGGUGAACUCGGCGAUACUACAACAGGCGCAGGCGGAGAUGGACGAGGUGGUAGGCCGAGAUCGGCUACUCCAGGAAUCCGACAUCCGGCACCUCCCCUACCUCCGUGCCAUCUGCAAGGAGACCUUCCGCAAGCACCCCUCCACACCACUCAACCUCCCCCGUAUCUCCACCGAGCCAUGUAAAGUGCAGGGGUACCAUAUCCCCAAGGGCACGAGGUUGGUCGUGAACAUAUGGGCGAUCGGGCGGGACCCGGCGGUGUGGCCCGAGCCGGAGAGGUUCGACCCUGGGAGGUUCAUGACCGAGGAGGGGAGGAAGGUGGAGCCCAUGGGGAGUCACUUCCAACUGAUCCCGUUUGGCGCGGGCCGAAGGAUGUGCGCGGGGGCGCGCAUGGGAGUGGCAUUGAACAUAUAA